ACUAAGUGCCCCGGAGACGACGCGGACGCGGGGCGAGGAGACUGCCCAGGGGGCUGCGGUGGGUCCUGCGCCCUGGGCCCGCUGUCUCGCCUUCAGACGACUUUGGUAGAGCGAAAAACAAGCAUCCUGUCGCUGCUGCCCGCCCUCACGCCUUCCUUUUUUUCCUGUCUUACAAAUCCUAGGAUCAUCCAGCUCAGGAAAUGCUGGAAGGAAGUUAGCUAGGGAGGGGGGCGGUGGGUGGAAAUUUUUGGCAGCUCGGUGCUUGUGAGUGUGUGGAGCUAGAGGAAGUAGGUGGGUGGGUUGAGGAGCACGGGGUUGGGGUAGAGAACGCGUUCUCCCGAGAGCAGUUCUGCGACUCCAGAGAUAACUGGGCAGCCCCGGAGGAAAUCGCGCUCUUCUCGCAGGACCCGCAGCCGCAGCCGCCGCUUCCUGCCCCGCCGAGCCGGCUCUUUGAAGUGGCGGGAGGAGGUGCGCUGGCAUUCUGCGGGGACCGUGCUGGUUGGGACUUUCAGAACCCUCUGCCCUGGUUUUAUCCUCAUUGUCAUCGUAUCUUUGACACUUUCUAUUUCGGUGCCCGCCUGUCUGCUACGCAAAUACUUAAAGAGUAAUGACAGAGACAAACAGGGGACUCCAGCGGAGAAACCUGACAGGCAGUGGCUUCACGCCGGCCACUCCCAUCCCAACCUCCUCUGCAGCGUUCGUGCACCCCCACCUCAGCUCACUCCCCUCCCACUCUGGGGUAAAGAUACCCCUGGGCAAAGAGAGGCUGCAGCUUUGUAACCACUGCCCAGGAAAUCAGAUUUCUGGUUACAUAUUCAAGACACACACACACACUACUGCAAAGUUUUCUAAAUGGAAGUGAUUUGGGGGGGACAAACCAGGAUUUAAGAUGCCUCUGACACAUGAAAUGUGAAGAAAGCAGUCUCCCAGGUUCUUUCAUAAUUUGUUUCAAGUUGUUUCAAGAGGGCAUGUUUUUUUCUUCUCCAGUUAGAUUUUAAAUUCUUUAACUUCUGUGUACUCAGCACACAGAAAGCACUCAAAUUCUUGUGAUUUAACCAUUUGAGGAUUAGAUGAAACUUCCUGUAUAAAUUCAAAUCCAUAUACAGGCUUGAAGGAUAGGGGCAUAUGUCAUACAGCUCAGAUUGCUGGCAAAGCUGCAUCCGUAGCAUUUUAGGUACUGAAUCCCUUUACAGUCACUGUCUCUCUAUGUAACCUUAACAGUCUAUGAACUUU
rnacentral:lncRNA from 1 species